GACGAACGCUGGCGGCGUGCUUAACACAUGCAAGUCGAACGGAAAGGCCCUGCUUUUGUGGGGUGCUCGAGUGGCGAACGGGUGAGUAACACGUGAGUAACCUGCCCUUGACUUUGGGAUAACUUCAGGAAACUGGGGCUAAUACCGGAUAGGAGCUCCUGCUGCAUGGUGGGGGUUGGAAAGUUUCGGCGGUUGGGGAUGGACUCGCGGCUUAUCAGCUUGUUGGUGGGGUAGUGGCUUACCAAGGCUUUGACGGGUAGCCGGCCUGAGAGGGUGACCGGCCACAUUGGGACUGAGAUACGGCCCAGACUCCUACGGGAGGCAGCAGUGGGGAAUAUUGCACAAUGGGCGGAAGCCUGAUGCAGCAACGCCGCGUGCGGGAUGACGGCCUUCGGGUUGUAAACCGCUUUCGCCUGUGACGAAGCGUGAGUGACGGUAAUGGGUAAAGAAGCACCGGCUAACUACGUGCCAGCAGCCGCGGUGAUACGUAGGGUGCGAGCGUUGUCCGGAUUUAUUGGGCGUAAAGGGCUCGUAGGUGGUUGAUCGCGUCGGAAGUGUAAUCUUGGGGCUUAACCCUGAGCGUGCUUUCGAUACGGGUUGACUUGAGGAAGGUAGGGGAGAAUGGAAUUCCUGGUGGAGCGGUGGAAUGCGCAGAUAUCAGGAGGAACACCAGUGGCGAAGGCGGCUCUCUGGGCCUUUCCUGACGCUGAGGAGCGAAAGCGUGGGGAGCGAACAGGCUUAGAUACCCUGGUAGUCCACGCUGUAAACGGUGGGUACUAGGUGUGGGGUCCAUUCCACGGGUUCCGUGCCGUAGCUAACGCUUUAAGUACCCCGCCUGGGGAGUACGGCCGCGAGGCUAAAACUCAAAGGAAUUGACGGGGCCCCGCACAAGCGGCGGAGCAUGCGGAUUAAUUCGAUGCAACGCGUAGAACCUUACCUGGGUUUGACAUGGAUCGGGAGCGCUCAGAGAUGGGUGUGCCUCUUUUGGGGUCGGUUCACAGGUGGUGCAUGGCUGUCGUCAGCUCGUGUCGUGAGAUGUUGGGUUAAGUCCCGCAACGAGCGCAACCCUUGUUCACUGUUGCCAGCACGUUAUGGUGGGGACUCAGUGGAGACCGCCGGGGUCAACUCGGAGGAAGGUGGGGAUGACGUCAAGUCAUCAUGCCCCUUAUGUCCAGGGCUUCACGCAUGCUACAAUGGCUGGUACAGAGAGUGGCGAGCCUGUGAGGGUGAGCGAAUCUCGGAAAGCCGGUCUCAGUUCGGAUUGGGGUCUGCAACUCGACCUCAUGAAGUCGGAGUCGCUAGUAAUCGCAGAUCAGCAACGCUGCGGUGAAAACGUUCCCGGGGCU
rnacentral:rRNA from 1 species